GACGUAGGGCGCGAGCGUUGUCCGGAUUUAUUGGGCGUAAAGAGCUCGUAGGCGGUCUGUCGCGUCGGCUGUGAAAACCCGGGGCUCAACCCCGGGCCUGCAGUCGAUACGGGCAGACUAGAGUUCGGUAGGGGAGACUGGAAUUCCUGGUGUAGCGGUGAAAUGCGCAGAUAUCAGGAGGAACACCGGUGGCGAAGGCGGGUCUCUGGGCCGAUACUGACGCUGAGGAGCGAAAGCAUGGGUAGCGAACAGG
rnacentral:rRNA from 1 species